CAUGCAAGUCGAGCGGUAACAGGAGAAGCUUGCUUCUUGCUGACGAGCGGCGGACGGGUGAGUAAUACUUAGGAAUCUGCCCAGUAGUGGGGGAUAGCUCGGGGAAACUCGAAUUAAUACCGCAUACACCCUACGGGGAAAAGGGGGCACUUUGUGCUCUCGCUAUUGGAUGAGCCUAAGUCGGAUUAGCUAGUUGGUGGGGUAAAGGCCUACCAAGGCGACGAUCUGUAGCUGGUCUGAGAGGAUGAUCAGCCACACCGGGACUGAGACACGGCCCGGACUCCUACGGGAGGCAGCAGUGGGGAAUAUUGGACAAUGGGGGCAACCCUGAUCCAGCCAUGCCGCGUGUGUGAAGAAGGCCUUUUGGUUGUAAAGCACUUUAAGCAGUGAAGAAGACUCUAUGGUUAAUACCCAUAGACGAUGACAUUAGCUGCAGAAUAAGCACCGGCUAA
rnacentral:rRNA from 1 species